rnacentral:rRNA from 1 species
GAGAAGAACNACAGGGAUUGCCUCAGUAACGGCGAGUGAAGCGGCAACAGCUCAAAUUUGAAAGCUGGCUCCUUCGGGGCCCGCGUUGUAAUUUGUAGAGGAUGCUUCGGGCGCGGCACCGGUCUAAGUUCUCUGGAACGAGACGUCAUAGAGGGUGAGAAUCCCGUAUGUGACCGGCCGCCUGUGCCCAUGUGAAGCUCCUUCGACGAGUCGAGUUGUUUGGGAAUGCAGCUCAAACUGGGAGGUGUACUCCUUCUAAAGCUAAAUAUUGGCCAGAGACCGAUAGCGCACAAGUAGAGUGAUCGAAAGAUGAAAAGCACUUUGGAAAGAGAGUUAAACAGUACGUGAAAUUGUUGAAAGGGAAGCGCUUGCAAUCAGACUUGCGCGGCGUCGAUCAGCCUGGGUUCUCCCUGGUGCACUCGGCGCCGCUCAGGCCAGCAUCAGUUUCGGCGGUGGGAUAAAGGCCUAGGGAACGUAGGUCCCCUCGGGGACCGUUAUAGCCCUAGGUGCAAUGCCGCCUGCCGGGACUGAGGACCGCGCUUCGGCUAGGAUGCUGGCGUAAUGGUUGUAAGCGACCCGUCUUGAAACACGGACCAAGGAGUCUAACAUCUAUGCGAGUGUUGGGGGUGGAAAA